GCCACUGUAGACCACGGCGGUCGCUUUUCACCGAUGUGAAAAUAUUUGCGUAAAGUGAUGCAUGAAGGGACGCGGAGGUUCGACUCCUCCCAGUGGCA